rnacentral:ncRNA from 1 species
GAGUUCAUAUCGACGGCGGUGUUUGGCACCUCGAUGUCGGCUCAUCACAUCCUGGGGCUGUAGCCGGUCCCAAGGGUAUGGCUGUUCGCCAUUUAAAGUGGUACGCGAGCUGGGUUCAGAACGUCGUGAGACAGUUCGGUCCCUAUCUGUCGUGGGCGUUGGAGAUUUGAGGGGGGCUGCUCCUAGUACGAGAGGACCGGAGUGGACGUUCCGCUGGUGUUCGGGUUGUCAUGCCCAUGGCAUUGCCCGGUAGCUACGAACGGAAGUGAUAACCGCUGAAAGCAUCUAAGCGGGAAGCACGCCCCAAGAUGAGAUCUCCCGAGAGCUUGACUCUCCUUAAGGCACCAUCAAGACCAGGUGGUUGAUAGGUCAGGUGUGGAAGCGCAGCAAUGCGUUCAGCUAACUGAUACUAAUGAGCCGUGAGGCUUGACCAU